GGGACUUCACAACAAAUAGUGGGCUUCUUCCUCCCAUUCUGGAGGCUGGGGGUCCCAGAUGGAGAGGCAGGCGUUCCGGUUCCUGGCAAGGGUCCCCUUGCAGAUGGCCGCCUUCGUGCGGGGUCCUCACAGUGGGGAGGGAGCCAGAGCUCCGUCCUCAGCCUCAAGGACACUGACCCUGUGGUGAGAAUUCCCCUCCUCCACCCUCUAGAUGCUGCCCGGAGAGAUAGACAGCCAGAGGCGGCCGCACCGCUGCGCGGGCAGGCCUCUGAAGUCGUAGGCUCACAGGACAUCACCUACUCCCAGCUGACCUGCAGCACCCCCAGCAGGGGUACGGCUGAGACGCCCUCCUCAGUGCCCAGGGAGACCCAGCCCAGCGAGUAUGCAACCCUGGCCCUCAGAUGAGUCAUGCACCGCAGCCCAGCGUCUCAUCCGGCCACCAGGACUUCCAGCUGCCUGUGGGGAGGUCCCCCCUGGAGCUGCUGGUCCUGAAGUUGAAGCUGAGGGGCCCUGUGUCACUCAGAAGGCCCCGCUGCCCCCUGAAUCUAGAGACCUCAACAUUUUCACUCAGUCAGCUCCAGAACCACGACAAUAAAGUGCCCAGCGAUGCCUGAGACCCUCCAAAGUUAUCGGGAGAAUGAUAGGGUCACACGGCAAAGGUUUCAUUAUUUGUUGAUUAAACAAAUAUACUUUAAAUCCU